AACGAACGCUGGCGGCAGGCCUAACACAUGCAAGUCGAGCGAGGACUUCGGUCCUAGCGGCGGACGGGUGAGUAACGCGUGGGAACGUGCCCUUUGCUACGGAAUAGCCCCGGGAAACUGGGAGUAAUACCGUAUGUGCCCGAGAGGGGAAAGAUUUAUCGGCAAAGGAUCGGCCCGCGUUGGAUUAGGUAGUUGGUGGGGUAAUGGCCUACCAAGCCGACGAUCCAUAGCUGGUUUGAGAGGAUGAUCAGCCACACUGGGACUGAGACACGGCCCAGACUCCUACGGGAGGCAGCAGUGGGGAAUCUUAGACAAUGGGGGAAACCCUGAUCUAGCCAUGCCGCGUGAGCGAUGAAGGCCUUAGGGUUGUAAAGCUCUUUCAGUGGGGAAGAUAAUGACGGUACCCACAGAAGAAGCCCCGGCUAACUCCGUGCCAGCAGCCGCGGUAACAC
rnacentral:rRNA from 1 species